rnacentral:tRNA from 1 species
AAAUAAGAAGCAAUUAAUUGCAAUCAGUUUCGACCUGAUAAUAAGAUAAUAAUAUUAUCCUUAUUUU